rnacentral:rRNA from 1 species
GAUGAACGCUGGCGGCGUGCCUAAUACAUGCAAGUCGAGGGCAAAGCCGAGGUUCUUGCUCCUAUGACGUUCGCAGCGGACGGGUACGUAAAACGUGGUUAACCUACCUUUAAGACUGACAUAACUUCAGGAAACCGGAGCUCAUACCGGGUAAUAUAUUCACCUGCACGGUUCGAUAGUAAAAGACGGUUUUGCUGAGCCUUAUAGACUGUUACGCGCCUCAUUAGCUAGUGGGUAAGGUAACGGCUUACCAGGGGAACGAUGCGUAGCCGACCUGGCAGGGAGAGCGGGCCGACUGGAACUGGGACACGGUCCAGAGUCCUACGGGAGGCAGCAGUAGGGAAUCUGCCGGAAUGGGGGAAAGCAUGACGGAGCAAGGGCGCGUGAGUGAUGAAGGUCUUCGGAGCGUAAAACGCUGUUAUUAGGGAAGAAAAAAGGUGUAAGUAAGGAUGCACGUCUUGACGGUACCUAAUCAGAAAGCGACGGCUAACUACGUG